UGAACGCUGGCGGCAGCCUAACACAUGCAAGUCGAGCGGAAACGAAGAGGUGCUUGCACCUCUGGCGUCGAGCGGCGGACGGGUGAGUAAUGCUUGGGAAUAUGCCUUAUGGUGGGGGACAACAGUUGGAAACGACUGCUAAUACCGCAUGAUGUCUACGGACCAAAGUGGGGGACCUUCGGGCCUCACGCCAUAAGAUUAGCCCAAGUGGGAUUAGCUAGUUGGUGAGGUAAUGGCUCACCAAGGCUACGAUCCCUAGCUGGUUUGAGAGGAUGAUCAGCCACACUGGGACUGAGACACGGCCCAGACUCCUACGGGAGGCAGCAGUGGGGAAUAUUGCACAAUGGGCGCAAGCCUGAUGCAGCCAUGCCGCGUGUGUGAAGAAGGCCUUCGGGUUGUAAAGCACUUUCAGUAAGGAGGAAAGGUUAAGUGUUAAUAGCACUUAGCUGUGACGUUACUUACAGAAGAAGCACCGGCUAACUCCGUGCCAGCAGCCGCGGUAAUACGGAGGGUGCGAGCGUUAAUCGGAAUUACUGGGCGUAUAGCGUACGCAGGCGGUUUGUUAAGCGAGAUGUGAAAGCCCCGGGCUCAACCUGGGAACUGCAUUUCGAACUGGUAAACU
rnacentral:rRNA from 1 species